AUUACAUGGAGAUCUUGUUAAAACGCAGAUUCUGAUUCAGCAGGCGAGGGGUGGACCUGAGAUUCUGCAUUUCUAACAAGCUCCCAGGAGAUGCGAU
rnacentral:pre_miRNA from 1 species